CCAACGGCUCUUUUAAGAGCCACCCACCACCUACAAAGAGCAGACU
rnacentral:ncRNA from 1 species